CACACACAUACACACUCAAUCACACAAACAAAUAAGCACAAACUACCUGCUGUCAGUUCAAGGUGGACAAUUAAUGUGGGAGGUUAUGACUUUUUAUAAUCUUAAACUUUAAUACAUUUUGUUUUAUUUUAUUAACCACUCACAUUUAAAACUAAAAAUGGAUCAGUGACCAAUUCAACUGUUUGAAGCAAACACAGAGAGAAAAGGGAAAGUAUCUGUGAAAGUUUCUUGUCUGUAGAGUAUUUCCUUGAACAACUUUCAUUGGAAUCCUUUACUGUAAAAUGAUAACCACUGAGGAAGUGUCAACUAUUUUUUUUGACUUGUAGUUAUCAAUCUUCCAGUUUUCAGUUCAGUGACUGAGUAAUAUACGCUAGUGACUGUUCUUGAGAAUUUGUUGAUGGUUUAAAUUCCAACAAUCACCUCUAAUAGGCACAGAGUCCAUGCAAAGCCUUAUUUUCCCAAAGUAUCUCACUUUUUUUGUUUUUUAACUAUAUAUGUAUACACCUGUUUGAAUAAAAAAAAUUAACAAAAUACAUUAUAGGCACAGUACAUUUUGAAGAAAAUGUUAGGUUUAAAUAUAAAGUAGUUAAUGGUGUACUUAUCUCAGACAAGUCAGUGGUAAGAGGUGUGGAGUGACUGGUCAUGGAAAUGAUUUAAUUCAUUUAGGGAACAUGAAUGAUACAGAAAAUUGUUUUUCUUGUAUACAUUUUUCUGAUUAGAAAUAUUUCUGAUCAUUUGUUCAAUCCCUGUGCAGUGGAAUGUGCUUGAUACAGCACUGAGCUGACUGUAGACAUUCUUUCAGGGUGCCUGAACCAGCUUAACUGGGUUCUUUCAAUUUAGCAGAGCAAUGAAUCUACUCUGAGGCUCGGAUGAAUUGUUGAGCUCAUUCUCCUAUCACUGAGUAAACCCAGCAUGUCUGCGGAGGAAGCUUAUUUCCAUCACCCUAUAUUUCACUACUUAUAACCCCUGACUAUAGGUGAGGAUCAGAGAUGGGUAGUAGCGAGUUACAUUUACUUGAGUAACUUUUUGGGUAAAAUGUACUUCUAUGAGUAUUUUUACUGCAUCAUACUUUUUACUUUUACUUAAAGCUUUGUGAAGAAUAAAUGCUACUCUUAAUCUUUUUUUGUUUAUUUUUUUGCAACUUUCUCAAAUUUUGCGGAACGCCCAUAAAUCAAUGCUGCUAAUAGUGGGAUCUUGCGGUUAGUGUAUCAUCAUGCGCUCCCUGUACUCACAUUAAGGCCUUGUUUACGAUGUUUAUUGUAAACAUCGAAACCCAAACGUCCAUGUGGAUCAUCAGCACAAGCAAUAUUGAAGGUUGCAUAUUUUACUAUUUCUCUAACAAGUUAGCAUAAAUCUCAUUCCCUGUCUUUCAGUGCUCCAACUGAAAGAGAACGCAA